rnacentral:rRNA from 1 species
AACGAACGCUGGCGGCAUGCCUAACACAUGCAAGUCGAACGAGACCUUCGGGUCUAGUGGCGCACGGUUGCGUAACGCGUGGGAACCUGCCCUUAGGUUCGGAAUAACUCCCCGAAAGGGGUGCUAAUACCGGAUAAUGUCUUCGGACCAAAGAUUUAUCGCCUUUGGAUGGGCCCGCGUUGGAUUAGCUAGUUGGUAGGGUAAAAGCCUACCAAGGCGACGAUCCAUAGCUGGUCUGAGAGGAUGAUCAGCCACACUGGGACUGAGACACGGCCCAGACUCCUACGGGAGGCAGCAGUGGGGAAUAUUGGACAAUGGGCGAAAGCCUGAUCCAGCAAUGCCGCGUGAGUGAUGAAGGCCUUAGGGUUGUAAAGCUCUUUUACCCGGGAUGAUAAUGACAGUACCGGGAGAAUAAGCUCCGGCUAACUCCG